rnacentral:rRNA from 1 species
GACGAACGCUGGCGGCGUGCUUAACACAUGCAAGUCGAACGGAAAGGCCCUGCUUUUGUGGGGUGCUCGAGUGGCGAACGGGUGAGUAACACGUGAGUAACCUGCCCUUGACUUUGGGAUAACUUCAGGAAACUGGGGCUAAUACCGGAUAGGAGCUCCUGCUGCAUGGUGGGGGGUGGAAAGUUUCGGCGGCUGGGGAUGGACUCGCGGCUUAUCAGCUUGUUGGUGGGGUAGUGGCUUACCAAGGCUUUGACGGGUAGCCGGCCUGAGAGGGUGACCGGCCACAUUGGGACUGAGAUACGGCCCAGACUCCUACGGGAGGCAGCAGUGGGGAAUAUUGCACAAUGGGCGGAAGCCUGAUGCAGCAACGCCGCGUGCGGGAUGACGGCCUUCGGGUUGUAAACCGCUUUCGCCUGUGACGAAGCGUGAGUGACGGUAAUGGGUAAAGAAGCACCGGCUAACUACGUG